UACGUAGGGCGCAAGCGUUGUCCGGAAUUAUUGGGCGUAAAGAGCUCGUAGGCGGUCUGUCACGUCGGCUGUGAAAACCCGAGGCUCAACCUCGGGCCUGCAGUCGAUACGGGCAGACUAGAGUGCUGUAGGGGAGACUGGAAUUCCUGGUGUAGCGGUGAAAUGCGCAGAUAUCAGGAGGAACACCGGUGGCGAAGGCGGUUCUCUGGGCCUUACCUGACGCUGAGGAGCGAAAGCGUGGGGAGCGAACAGG
rnacentral:rRNA from 1 species